CAGCAGCAGCCACGGGAAUACGUAGGGUGCAAGCGUUAAUCGGAAUUACUGGGCGUAAAGCGUGCGCAGGCGGUUAUAUAAGUCAGAUGUGAAAUCCCCGGGCUCAACCUGGGAACUGCAUUUGAGACUGUAUGGCUAGAGUGUGUCAGAGGGGGGUAGAAUUCCACGUGUAGCAGUGAAAUGCGUAGAUAUGCGGAGGAACACCGAUGGCGAAGGCAAUCCCCUGGACCUGUACUGACGCUCAUGCACGAAAGCGUGGGGAGCAAACAGGAUUAGAUACCCGCGUAGUCCCUGUCUCUUAUAC
rnacentral:rRNA from 1 species